UACGGAGGGGGCUAGCGUUGUUCGGAAUUACUGGGCGUAAAGCGCACGUAGGCGGCUUUGCAAGUCAGAGGUGAAAGCCCGGGGCUCAACCCCGGAAUUGCCUUUGAGACUGCAUCGCUAGAAUUGUGGAGAGGUAAGUGGAAUUCCGAGUGUAGAGGUGAAAUUCGUAGAUAUUCGGAAGAACACCAGUGGCGAAGGCGGCUCACUGGCUCAUUACUGACGCUCAGGCGCGAAAGCGUGGGGAUCAAACAGG
rnacentral:rRNA from 1 species